UCUCUUUUACCGCUUAAUCACACAUGAACGGGGGAACCAUUUUCGAUCGUUUCAAAAAGCGAUCUUGGGGUGAAUCUUACGUUGUAAGAAGGGGUACUCUGAAUCCCUAAUCCGACAGCUAACCUCGCAGGCGUAUACAGAGAGGAGGU
rnacentral:sRNA from 2 species